AUGAAGCCAGGAGCCCCAGGGAAUGGCAGUAGCACCAGGGGCGGACGCAGCAAGGAACGGGUCCUCGGGAGCUUCCAGAGGCGACGCAGCUCUGCUGUCUGUCACCUUGAUUUAAGCCAAGGGGAACUGAGCUUGCAUUUCUGCCUUCCAAAAUUAGCAUCUAGGCCUUGUGGCUCACUCGACAUACUGUUAGAUUCCCGCCAGUCACGCAGCUGCCUAAUCCUACGAUUGAGGACCGGGCACAAUGAAGUUAUGUGAUUGCCCACCACACAAAGCAAACUUUUCAAUGCAGCCACCCUAGCAGUGCUGAAGACUCCAGCUACUGGAUUCAUUUCAAUUCUGGUGAUCAAGGCUGACCGCCGUACGACCUUGGCAGGGCGGGGGUAAUGAGGAGUCCACCGCCUUGCCUCCUUACGUGCAGGCCAAACACAGUUACCAGGCAACACAACCCUGAAGUGGAAAAUUCCACAAGCCUGCCUUUUUCAUAAACUCACGGUUUUUUUUUUCAAAAAGGCUUGCACAAGCCCACUUUGUCCCCAGCUUAUAAAAGCAGCCAAUCAGAACCCCCACCCCAC